rnacentral:rRNA from 1 species
UACGUAGGGGGCGAGCGUUGUCCGGAUUCAUUGGGCGUAAAGCGCUUUAAGGCGGUUCGCUAAGUCGGGUGUGAAACCUCCAGGCUCAACCUGGAGACGCCACUCGAUACUGGCGUGACUAGAGUUCGGUAGGGGAUCACGGAAUUCCUGGUGUAGCGGUGAAAUGCGUAGAUAUCAGGAGGAACACCGGUGGUGUAGACGGCUUUCUGGACCGUAACUGACGCUGAGACGCGAAAGCGUGGGAGGCAAACAGG